rnacentral:rRNA from 1 species
UACGAAGGGGGCUAGCGUUGUUCGGAUUUACUGGGCGUAAAGCGCACGUAGGCGGAUUGUUAAGUCAGGGGUGAAAUCCUGGAGCUCAACUUCAGAACUGCCUUUGAUACUGGCAAUCUCGAGUCCGGAAGAGGUGAGUGGAACUCCUAGUGUAGAGGUGGAAUUCGUAGAUAUUAGGAAGAACACCAGUGGCGAAGGCGGCUCACUGGUCCGGUACUGACGCUGAGGUGCGAAAGCGUGGGGAGCAAACAGG